GCAGGCUCUAACCCGUUAAACUCUCAAUAGCUGACCAAUGUUCCAGCUAUAUCUCAUACCCAAAAAUCAAAUUCCUCUUCCUCGUUGAAAAACAAAUAAUCGUCACCACCAUCGUUGCUCCAACCAGCCAAUCGGUGAAACACCAUCUUCCACCAAAAAAUCACUGCAACGAAUACAUAAUUCUUAUGUAUCAGUAACACAAAAAAUAUUUGAUACAUAAUUUUUGAUAUAUUUUCAAGAGAUACCCAGGCCGAUAUACAUAAUUUGUAUGUAUUUGUAAUUCAUAUCUCAUUUCAAUACAUGAAUCGAAUGUAUUAGUAAUGCAGAAAAUCAAUCGAUACAUAAUCUUUUGUCAUAUUUUCUACUAAAUACAUCAUUCUUACGUAUCUCAAUGUCACCAUCAUUACCGUAUUAGCAGUGAAUUGUCUCCUUCUUAACCCGCCUUGCGACAUCAAAUGCUUCGUUUUGUGGGAGACUCAAUAGGACGGUUAAUGACGACGUCAUGAGUGCGUUGAGUUGGUGGUCAAGGAGGAGAAUUUGAAUCUUCAAUUGAGAUUGGAUGAGAAGCUAUGGAAGAAGAAGAAGAAAAAAUGAGAGUACG
rnacentral:lncRNA from 1 species